rnacentral:rRNA from 1 species
AUUGAACGCUGGCGGCAGGCCUAACACCUGCAAGUCGCACGAGUGGCGGACGGGUGAGUAAUGUCUGGGAAACUGCCCGAUGGAGGGGGAUAACUACUGGAAACGGUAGCUAAUACCGCAUACCAUCGGAUGUGCCCAGAUGGGAUUAGCUGGUAGGUGGGGUAACGGCUCACCUAGGCGAACAUCCCUAGCUGGUCUGAGCGGAUGACCGGCCAAACGGGAACGGAGACACGGUCCAGACUCCUACGGGAGGCAGCAGUGGGGAAUAUUGCACAAUGGGCGCAAGCCUGAUGCAGCAAUGCCGCGUGUAUGAAGAAGGCCUUCGGGUUGUAAAGUACUUUCAGCGGGGAGGCGUUACCCGCAGAAGAAGCACCGGCUAACUCCGUGCCAGCAGCCGCGGUAAUAC